AGAGAGAGACAUGCGCGCAUAUCAAUAAGCGGAGGAAAAGAAACUAACAAGGAUUCCCCUAGUAACGGCGAGUGAAGCGGGAAGAGCUCAAAUUUGAAAUCUUAAAGGGUUUCCCUUUACGAAUUGUAGUUUAAAGAAGUGUUUUCUGUUGAGGUUUUGGUAAAAGUUCUUUGGAAUAGGACAUCAUAGAGGGUGAGAAUCCCGUAUUUGACCAUUACUUUCCAGCUUUGUGAUACACUUUCAAAGAGUCGGAUUGUUUGGGAAUGCAGUCCAAAAUGGGUGGUAAAUUUCAUCUAAAGCUAAAUAUUGGCGAGAGACCGAUAGCGAACAAGUACCGUGAGGGAAAGAUGAAAAGAACUUUGAAAAGAGAGUUAAACAGUACGUGAAAUUGUCAAAAGGGAAGCGUUUGACACCAGUGUUGUUUUUCUGAAAAUCAAUUAAAGAACUGUUUAUGCUAAGCUGUUUAGACUUUAUCAGCUAACUGUUUAGUUUUGAGCUUUUCUUUAAUGCACUUUUCAGUUAACAAGUCAACAUCAAUUUCUUUUGCUGUAAAAAAGCUUGAGGAAGGUGGCUUGAGAUUCGUCUUAAGUGUUUAUAGCCUCUUGCCUAUGCAGUCGGAGAGAUUGAGGUCUGCAGCGUAGAUCCUUCGGGGCUAAAUGCAUUUGUGCUAAGUUAUAGCAUUUUAUAGACAACUUGUUGACUAUGAUUUGUCUUGUAGCUUACUCGCUUAUGUUAUUUUACCUACGCUUAGGAUGUUGAGCGCAUGUCUCUCUCU
rnacentral:rRNA from 1 species